AACUCAGUUAUAUAUUUACCUCCGGGGGGAGAUGUUGGAUAAAGUAUCUCCUGAGGUAAAGAUUUGAGUGCACUUCACAUGGACCACCGCGUGAGAGUGAGACUCAGUCAACGCCAAGGAACGGUUGUGUGUCAGAUGCAAAAACAUGUUUAUGGGUAUGGGACAUUUAACAGCCUUGGAGGUCUCAGUGGGAUACCUUGA
rnacentral:lncRNA from 1 species